UCGCUUUCUCUAUCUCUCUCUCCCGCUGCUUCCUUGGUUUAGUGUUGCCUGUGUUGUGCCCGAAAACAGUGUUGUAGAUUUUAUUGCGCUGUGCCCGUAAUCAUUGAGUGACCGCCCUGUGCGUGUGUUGCCGCGUCAGGAAGGGAGUGUUGCGUCUCCAGGAGGGUCUUCCCCUUCCGAGUGGCGUCCGCGCCUGCUUCCUUCGUCAGGCACCUCCCGCCUCACUCCUUGCUUCCUCCCGUCUCCCAGAGUCUACACACCUGCAGUCUUGAGGAGUUAGCAGCCAACGGCGUUAGGUUGCCAGGUGGACGAGUAGGACCGAGUGGUGUCAACGUGAGGGCAGUGUAGCUGAUCGUGUGGAAAGUGGGGUGCCAACUCCACUGGUUCUAAUUACAAGUCUGGUUGUAGUGCCGGACUGGAGCAACAAAUAUGCCCAUUGGAUCGAGAAUGUGUAGUGCACUGAUGUGGGUAAUGUGAACUGGAAAUAUAAAUAAGGAUUGAGACAAAAUGGUAUAUUAUGUUCCUUGUUACGUGGCACGGCUUCCUAUAAUCUCCGGCUACUCCUAAUUACGAGUAGAUGCCUGCCUUUCAGUGUGGUCAACGCCACGACACACCAGGUUUCCUUUAACAUUCUCUCUCUCUCUCUCUCUCUCUCUCUCUCUCUCUCUCUCUCUCUCUCUCUCUCUCUCUCUC